rfam:Hordeum vulgare subsp. vulgare, WGS project CAJW01000000 data, contig: morex_contig_53318
CUAGUACUCCCUUCGUCCGGAAAUACUCGUCGGAGAAAUGGAUACAAAUUCAUGUAUCUAAAACUAAAAUACAUCUAGAUACAUCCAUAACUCUGACAAGUAUUUCCAGACGGAGGGAGUAUUUG